GGGAGAUUAGCUCAGCUGGUUAGAGCGCAUCCCUGAUAAGGAUGAGGUCCGCGGUUCGAGUCCGCGAUCUCCCACUA
rnacentral:tRNA from 1 species